rnacentral:rRNA from 1 species
GACGAACGCUGGCGGCGCGCCUAACACAUGCCAGUCGAACGGAGCUGAGAGAAGCUUGCUUUUCUUAGCUUAGUGGCGAACGGGUGAGUAACGCGUGAGUAACCUGCCCUGGAGUGGGGGACAACAGUUGGAAACGACUGCUAAUACCGCAUAAGCCCACGAUCCGGCAUCGGAUUGAGGGAAAAGGAUUUAUUCGCUUCAGGAUGGACUCGCGUCCAAUUAGCUAGUUGGUGAGGUAACGGCCCACCAAGGCGACGAUUGGUAGCCGGACUGAGAGGUUGAACGGCCACUGGGGGACUGAGCCACGGCCGGGACUCCUCCGGGAGGCGGGAGGGGGGGAUAUGGAAAAAGGGGGAAACCCCUGAUGCGCCGCCGCCGGGGGAAGAAAGAAGGUUUUCGUAUUGAAAAACCCUGUCGUAAGGGAGGAUAAUGACGGUACCUAAAAAGAAAGCCCCGGCUAACUACGUG